rnacentral:rRNA from 1 species
CAGCAGCCGCGGGAAUACGAAGGGUGCAAGCGUUAAUCGGAAUUACUGGGCGUAAAGCGUGCGUAGGCGGUGAGUUAAGUCUGCUGUGAAAUCCCCGGGCUCAACCUGGGAAUGGCAGUGGAUACUGGCUCGCUAGAGUGUGUCAGAGGAUGGUGGAAUUCCCGGUGUAGCGGUGAAAUGCGUAGAGAUCGGGAGGAACAUCAGUGGCGAAGGCGGCCAUCUGGGACAACACUGACGCUGAGGCACGAAAGCGUGGGGAGCAAACAGGAUUAGAUACCCGCGUAGUCCCUGUCUCUUAUAC